rnacentral:misc_RNA from 1 species
GCCCCACCAAUCAAUCCUCCCCCCUUUCCGCAAGAAACAUCCCAAACUGUAAAUGACAAUUGUGAGUUCGCCGUCAAGUCUCUAUACUUUGUGCUCAAAGUAAUAAGUUCAUUCCAGCAAAACGAUGGAGCUCCUGUUUCCAGCCUUGUUCUCAUGGGAAGUCCAAAGGGAGCACCAUCUACAUAUAAAGUACUCUCCACAUACAGCUCUGCCUUUCUCUCCUCCGUUGUAGAAUCAACAUUAUCUGAAUCAGCGAGCUUGGGUGGUAACAAUUUGCCUUCCAAUUUCUCAAUUCGGUAAGUAACAGGAAGAUUAAUAUCACACGAUAAGAAAAACCUGAAUUCGUUUCCACUCAUAGCUCUGAUUACACAACUUUUA